GGGCCCGCACAAGCGGUGGAGCAUGUGGUUUAAUUCGAUGCAACGCGAAGAACCUUACCAGGGCUUGACAUACUGCGAAUCUUUUUGAAAGAAGAGAGUGCCUUCGGGAAUGCAGAUACAGGUGGUGCAUGGCUGUCGUCAGCUCGUGUCGUGAGAUGUUGGGUUAAGUCCCGCAACGAGCGCAACCCUUGUUUUUAGUUACCAAUUCGUUGGGUUUUCUAGAAAGACUGCCGGUGACAAACCGGAGGAAGGUGAGGAUGACGUCAAGUCAGCAUGCCCCUUAUGUCCUGGGCUACACACGUGCUACAAUGGGUGGGACAAAGAGUCGCGAGUUCGCGAGAACCAGCUAAUCUCGUAAACCUACCCUAAGUUCAGAUUGUAGGCUGCAACUCGCCUACAUGAAGUUGGAAUCGCUAGUAA
rnacentral:rRNA from 1 species